GGGGAGGAGAAAUGGGCGGGAGGCUGUGGAGAUAGCGAGACACCCGGCGACGACGAGGUUGUCAUGGUGCCGCGGGGCCGUGCUCGCGCAUGCGCCACCUGACCCACGGGGGCCGGUCGUGGAGCUGCGACCCCGGCCCUCGGGCAGUCCAGAUGAAAAGAGUACCAAUGAAUCUGCCUCCAGCUGAAUAAACCAUGGAGAGGAAAAACCCAUCCAGAGAGAGCCCCAGAAGACUCUCCGCCAAAGUAGGCAAAGGCACAGAGAUGAAGAAAGUGGCUCGUCAGCUCGGGAUGGCUGCUGCUGAGUCAGACAAGGACUCUGGCUUUUCAGAUGGGAGCUCAGAAUGUCUGAGCUCCGCAGAGCAGAUGGAGUCCGAGGACAUGCUGAGCGCCUUAGGCUGGAGCAGAGAAGACAGGCCGAGGCAGAACUCCAAAACUGCAAAGAAUGCCUUCCCUACCCUGUCUCCCAUGGUCGUCAUGAAGAAUGUGCUGGUCAAACAGGGCAGCAGCUCAUCCCAGCUCCAGUCAUGGACUGUCCAGCCCUCCUUUGAAGUGAUCUCAGCACAGCCACAGCUCUUAUUCCUUCAUCCACCUGUACCAUCUCCUGUCAGUCCAUGCCACACUGGUGAGAAAAAGUCCGACUCCAGGAACUACUUGCCCAUUCUGAAUUCUUACACCAAAAUAGCCCCACAUCCAGGCAAAAGGGGCCUUUCCCUUGGCCCAGAAGAAAAAGGAGCAAGUGGAGUGCAGAAGAAAAUCUGUACUGAGAGACUUGGGCCUAGCUUGUCUUCCAGUGAGCCAACCAAGGUUGGUGCUAUUCCGUCCAGUCCCUCGACGCCAGCACCACCCAGCGCCAAACUUGCCGAGGACUCAGCUCUGCAGGGUGUGCCCUCUCUGGUGGCAGGUGGAAGUCCACAGACUCUUCAGCCAGUAUCCAGCAGUCACGUGGCUAAAGCUCCCAGUCUGACCUUCGCUUCCCCCGCCAGUCCUGUCUGCGCAUCAGACAGCACUCUCCAUGGGUUAGAGAGCAACUCUCCCCUUUCACCACUGUCCGCUAAUUAUAGCUCACCUUUAUGGGCUGCAGAGCACCUCUGCCGCAGCCCAGAUAUCUUUUCAGAGCAGCGGCAGAGCAAACAUAGGCGCUUUCAGAAUACCCUAGUAGUCCUACACAAAUCUGGUUUGCUAGAGAUCACUUUGAAAACCAAGGAGUUGAUUCGUCAGAACCAGGCAACUCAGGUAGAACUAGACCAGCUAAAGGAGCAAACCCAGCUGUUUAUAGAAGCCACCAAGAGCAGGGCCCCCCAGGCUUGGGCCAAGCUGCAGGCAUCUUUAACACCUGGGUCCAGUAAUACAGGCAGUGACCUAGAAGCAUUCUCUGAUCACCCAGACAUAUAGUACAGAGGCAUAUUUUCCUGUUACUUGAGUGGUUCUUUUCGCUCAUUUACUGUUACCUACUCCUGUUUCCCAAAGCUUAUGUAAGAGCUUUUCCUUCUAAACUUAAACUGUGUCGUGGUUCACUUAGGAAGCCACGUGCCAAUACCUGGCUGCUGUCUUAACUUGUGGUCUGGGCACAGUAUACAUAUGUCCCUGUUCCACUGAGGACCUCAGUUUGGGAGUGCCCUUGAGCCCCUUUUCCUUAGCCUGCAGGUGCUUCAGUGGAUCACGGGGCAAAGCAGGAGAUGAUUGUGUGGGGCUCUUCCUGCUGUCACCUCCCAUCAUCCCACCCUCUCACCAGGAUCAAGGGUGCAGUAACACGAAUGAGCAUACAGAGCAACGCCUGUUGAGCCAGGGAGUAGGUGACACAAGGAAACCUUCAUGGAUCUUCCCUUGCCUGUCUUAGUCACAGAGAGAAAUAAGAGGAGGUUGCUUGCAUUCCACAAGGCAUCGUGCUAGUUGGGCAAGACCUAAAAUGCCCUCAGCACAGGUUGCACCUGGGUGCUAGCACUUAAUCACUCAACGCUUUGUUUUCUUAAACUUGAAAGUCAAGGGAAAAGGUAGUACCAUCUGACUCCUAGACUUUCAUUACAAGUCAGAUUUUUCUUAAACUAGCAGGCAAAAAAAAUACUUCCAAAUUUUAAGGUGUGGAAUGGAUGCAGUACCAUCUGGAAUUAUAGUCGAUGAAUUGCUUUAUUGACUUAGAAGCUAAAGAAAAUAGACAUGGCUGGCAUAUCUCAUGGUCAGGAGCUGGACGAUUCUGGUAACUUAGGCUUUUUUUCUCUCUUCUUUUGAAACAGUAUAUCCUGUUUUAUAUCUAAAAAUCUUAAGGAUCGUUUCAGUGGUUCCUGGGGAUGUAGUAUAAGUUAACUCUGUUGCCAUGUUGUUUUUUUUUCUUUUUCUUUUAUUUUGAUAAAAGAAGUGAUUAUUAUGCUUGAUAAACUUUGAAUUAAAUACAGUUGUCUCGAAGGUAUGGUAAGUCUACAAAAAAUUGGAAAGCAUCUUACCCAUUUUCUUUUCACAUCCCAAAUUUUCAUUUGUUCCAUGUCAUAGUGAUGGGAAGCAGUUAUAGAGCAUUGUCUUCUGUGUUUCCUUCAUGUGUUAGAUAUUGGCAACAAAGCCAAAGGUGUAAUGUUGGUUAUAUGAAGUUUAUCUCGAAAUGGAGACCAUGACCAGAGUUUCCAGAUGAUACAUGUUUUUUUCAGCUUCAUUAAAUAGGCAACUAUGUUUCUAAGUAGUAAAGUUUCAAAAUAUUCUCUUAUUUUAAAAUUUCAUCCUCUUGAAAAUCUUUGUUCUUUACAAAAUUAUCUUAAUAAGUUCUAUAUGAUCAGCUUCAUCUUUCUUUUUUUUUUUUUUUCUUUUGAGAUGGAGUUUCACUCUUGUUGCCCAGUCUGGAGUACAAUGGUAGGAUCUCAGCUCACUGCAACGUCCGCCUCCCAGGUUCAAGUGAUUGUCCUGCCACAGCCUCCCAAGUAGCUGGGAUUACAGGUGCCUGCCACCACGCCCAGCUAAUUUUUGUAUUUUUAGUAGAAACAGGGUUUCACAAUGUUGGCCAGGCUGGUCUCGAACUCCUGAUUUCAGUUGAUCUGCCUGCCUCGGCCACCCAAUGUGCUGGGGUUACAGGCCUGAGCCACCACGCCCAGCCCAGCUUCACCCUUUCUGCAAAGAAAAGUUUUACCAAGACCAGAAGUUAAAGAUGACAUUUCGUAGGUAGUUGUAACUCUAACAUAGUUUAAAAAGUAUGUGGCUUCAGAUUGCCUAUACUUUGUUCACAAGCGUGUGAUUUAGAUAUGACUGAUUUAGAAGUGAACAACUUGGUAACAUCCCUAGACUCCCCUCAUCAACGCAGAAUUAUUACCUGCUCUUUACUCUCUGAAAGAAUUUCAGAAAUCAGAGCAAAUGUGUCUUUAGGCAGAUUCAGCUCCUUUUAAUAUUUUUUUCUUGGCCCACUCUCUUUGCCUGCCCUGAAUCUGUGUGGUACUAUAGCAGUUCUACUCUGUGCACCAUGCUAGGAAGCUUCCUUUUUGGCAGAGUACGUUUGGCAGCAAAGCUAUAGAGACAGGUGCAUUCAGAACAGCCUGGGCACCAGUCAUGAGUCUUACUGAGUGUCAAAAAUCAGAAAACACUUGCUGAGAACCAAAUUUAUUCCAUUGGAAAAACCCUCUGUGGAGCUAUAAGCCUCUUGGACUCUUCUUCCUAGAUUAAGGCUUGCAUUUCCCUCCCUGUUUCAGUAAAAGAUGAUGAAAGCCGUUAUCAAUCCUCACUGCUGAGUGGCAGGGAGAAGCAGCACCACCCCCAGCUCUUCUCUAAUCUUGUAACUUAGUGCUAGAAGUCUCUCCAGGCUAUUACCAUGGGUGUUUGUUCCCUAUUGGAGCUGUAAGCAGAUGAACCCAAGUAGAGAAGAUAGAUCUUGGAAGGAGAGAUCCACUGAGGCCAGCAGACAGUUGGGGCCAGAAGCCAGACCAGCAAAUGGAGGAACCUUGGAGGUGACCAGAAAGAUCUCCAUCGGUUGCCCAAGGCUAUCCUUGGAGGAGCCUCCCUCAGGGUCAGGAAUCAAGCGGGGACACGGCUGAGCCACUCAGAAGCACCUUUUCCUGGGGACUGAUCAAGAGGAGGGAAGGUCCUAUAACAGCCCAGGGGCCACGGGGGGCCUGAGCCCCAAACCUCAGCUGCUGUUCCAGCAGCCCCGUAGCUGAGUGGAGCCUCUGGGCCUGACGUGGACCUUCACUGGAGAAGUGACUCAGGUGGGAAAAGUCUCCCCAGACCUCUCCACCUGCAGGAUCGCCUUUCCUUCACCUUCCCCUGCCCGCUUCCUUAGCGCGGGCUCCUCCCAGUGACCACCAGCAGAACUGCAGCCUCCUGCCGUAGCUGACCUAGAGCCCGAGGUAGCUCAGAUGCCAGCUCCUUCCUCCAAGAGACCCUAGAAAUGCCAUUGGCCGCUACUCUGAUGCUUUGGCAGAAGGCAUGCCAUUAAAGUGUACUGUGUUCGAUGUAA